CCUACGGGAGGCAGCAGUGGGGAAUAUUGGGCAAUGGGCGCAAGCCUGACCCAGCAACGCCGCGUGAAGGAAGAAGGCUUUCGGGUUGUAAACUUCUUUUCUCAGGGACGAAGAAAGUGACGGUACCUGAGGAAUAAGCCACGGCUAACUACGUGCCAGCAGCCACGGUAAUACGUAGGUGGCAAGCGUUAUCCGGAUUUAUUGGGUGUAAAGGGCGUGUAGGCGGGAGCGCAAGUCAGAUGUGAAAACUCAGGGCUCAACCCUGAGCCUGCAUUUGAAACUGUGUUUCUUGAGUGCUGGGGAGGCAAUCGGAAUUCCGUGUGUAGCGGUGAAAUGCGUAGAUAUACGGAGGAACACCAGUGGCGAAGGCGGAUUGCUGGACAGUAACUGACGCUGAGGCGCGAAAGCGUGGGGAGCAAACAGGAUUAGAUACCCCUGUAGUC
rnacentral:rRNA from 1 species